rnacentral:rRNA from 1 species
UACGGAGGGGGCAAGCGUUGUUCGGAAUCAUUGGGCGUAAAGGGCGCGUAGGCGGCCGAUCAAGUCGGGUGUGAAAUCCCUCGGCUCAACCGAGGAACUGCACUCGAUACUGAUUGGCUCGAGUCCGGGAGGGGAUGGUGGAAUUCCCAGUGUAGCGGUGAAAUGCGUAGAUAUUGGGAAGAACACCCGUGGCGAAAGCGGCUCUCUGGGACGGUACUGACGCUGAGACGCGAAAGCGUGGGGAGCAAACAGG